rnacentral:rRNA from 1 species
UACGUAGGGGGCAAGCGUUGUCCGGAGUUACUGGGCGUAAAGCGCACGCAGGCGGUCUCUUAAGUUUGGAGUGACAGUUGGUGGCUUAACUGCCAAAGUGCUUCGAAAACUGAGAGACUUGAGGGCUUCAGAGGGACACGGAAUUCCGGGUGGAGUGGUGAAAUGCGUAGAGAUCCGGAGGAACACCAAAGGCGAAGGCAGUGUCCUGGGGAGUACCUGACGCUCAGGUGCGAAAGCCAGGG